UGGGGAAUAUUGCACAAUGGAGGGAACUCUGAUGCAGCAACGCCGCGUGCGGGAUGACGGCCUUCGGGUUGUAAACCGCUUUCAGCCAUGACGAAGCUUUUGUGACGGUAGUGGUAGAAGAAGCACCGGCUAACUACGUGCCAGCAGCCGCGGUGAUACGUAGGGUGCGAGCGUUGUCCGGAAUUAUUGGGCGUAAAGAGCUUGUAGGCGGUUUGUCGCGUCGAAAGUGUAAACUCAGUGCUUAACGCUGAGCCUGCUUUCGAUACGGGCUGACUAGAGGAGGGUAGGGGAGAAUGGAAUUCCCGGUGGAGCGGUGGAAUGCGCAGAUAUCGGGAGGAACACCAGUGGCGAAGGCGGUUCUCUGGACCUUUCCUGACGCAGAGAAGCGAAAGCGUGGGUAGCAAACAGG
rnacentral:rRNA from 1 species